rnacentral:rRNA from 1 species
AUUGAACGCUGGCGGCAGGCCUAACACAUGCAAGUCGAGCGGCAGCGGGGGAAAGCUUGCUUUCCCGCCGGCGAGCGGCGGACGGGUGAGUAAUGUCUGGGAAACUGCCUGAUGGAGGGGGAUAACUACUGGAAACGGUAGCUAAUACCGCAUAACGUCUACGGACCAAAGUGGGGGGCCGUCGGGCCUCCUGCCAUCAGAUGUGCCCAGAUGGGUGUAGCUAGUAGGUGGGGUAACGCCUCACCUAGGCGACGAGCCCUAGCUGGUCUGAGAGGAUGACCAGCCACACUGUAACUGAGACACGGUCCAGACUCAUACGGGAGGCAGCAGUGGGGAAUAUUGCACAAUGGGCGCAAGCCUGAUGCAGCCAUGCCGCGUGUAUGAAGAAGGCCUUCGGGUUGUAAAGUACUUCAGCGGGGAGGAAGGUGUUGUGGUUACUAACCACAGCAAUUGACGUUACCCGCAGAAGAAGCACCGGCUAACUCCGUGCCAGCCGCCGCGGUAAAAC